rnacentral:lncRNA from 1 species
CUGAACCCUGCUGCAGAUGCCAGCACCGCGUAGGCGCUGCCCGCCAGCCCUUGGCAAGUCCCAGCAAAGCCCCUGGCCAGCCUGUGUCUUCCGCCGUGGGCUGUCUGUCCGACAUGGAGCAUGGAGCGGUCCGGAGUGCCUAAGAACCCCCUCCAGAUGCACGGGACUGCCUGAGCCCGCUGGGGCGGAAAUCUUGCUUUCUUCUGAGAUUUCUAGAAAUCCCUUCGGACCAUUGGACUGGCAAGUACAGACGGGGAAAAAGGAGGAAAUCCUGUGGGUGCAUGGAUACCGGCGUGCACACACACAGGUCAGUCAUUUGAUUUAAGCCGAUUCAUCGCUUCUUAAUCCAGGCCAACUCUCCCCAGGGCACCUUCUUCCCUACACUUUGUUGCACACAAACCAACAGCCUCGCAACCACGAGCCA